rnacentral:rRNA from 1 species
UACGUAGGGUGCGAGCGUUGUCCGGAAUUAUUGGGCGUAAAGAGCUUGUAGGCGGUUUGUCGCGUCUGCUGUGAAAAUCCGGGGCUCAACCCCGGACUUGCAGUGGGUACGGGCAGACUAGAGUGUGGUAGGGGAGACUGGAAUCCCUGGUGUAGCGGUGAAAUGCGCAGAUAUCAGGAGGAACACCGAUGGCGAAGGCAGGUCUCUGGGCCACUACUGACGCUGAGAAGCGAAAGCAUGGGGAGCGAACAGG